rnacentral:misc_RNA from 1 species
UCCGGUUUGUCACCGGCAGUCUCAUUAGAGUGCCCAACUAAAUGUAGCAACUAAUGACAAGGGUUGCGCUCGUUGCGGGACUUAACCCAACAUCUCACGACACGAGCUGACGACAGCCAUGCAGCACCUGUCUCUGCGUCCCUUGCGGGAAAACUCCCUUUAAGGAGCGGUCGCAGGAUGUCAAACCCUGGUAAGGUUCUGCGCGUUGCGUCGAAUUAAACCACAUGCUCCACCGCUUGUGCGGGCCCCCGUCAAUUCCUUUGAGUUUCAGUCUUGCGACCGUACUCCCCAGGCGCAGGACUUAACGCGUUAGCUGCGCCACUAAGCAGCAAGCUGCCUAACGGCUAGCGUUCAUAGUUUACGGCGUGGACUAC